AUUGAACGCUGGCGGCAGGCCUAACACCUUCCAGUCGAACGAGUGGCGGACGGGUGAGUAAUGUCUGGGAAACUGCCCGAUGGAGGGGGCUAAAUACUGGAAACGGUAGCUAAUACAGCAUACCAUCGGAUGUUCCCAGAUGGGAUUAGCUAGGAGGUGGGUGAACGGCUCACCUAGGCCACGAUCCCUAGCUGGUCUGAGAGGAUGACAAGCCAAAAGGGAACAGAGACACGGGCCAGACGCCUACGGGAGGCAGCAGUGGGGAAUAUUGCACAAUGGGCGAAAGCCUGAUGCAGCCAUGCCGCGUGAAUGAAGAAGGCCUGCGGGUUGUAAAGUACGUUCAGCGAGGAGGCGUUACGCGCAGAAGAAGCACCGGCUAACUCCGUGCCAGCAGCCGCGGUAAUAC
rnacentral:rRNA from 1 species